GCCGUCUCCACUGCUUGGAGACAUCGAUCUUCGCCACCGCAAAUCUCUCUCUUUUUCACACACCCUUUUCACCAUCUGCAGUUUUACCCAUAACUUCUACCAAACCUGCGAGCCUUCUUUUUGAGAAUUUCAAGAAAUCAGCAUCAAGAACACCAACUAGAACAAGUGCCAACAACCCCACAACUAAGGUGUUGGCUAGUGGUGUAUCUACUGCGGCAGUAGAUGGAGAAGCUGAUGUUGAAGUUGCAGAGGGUUAUACAAUUACUCAGUUUUGUGAUAAAAUGAUUGAUUUGUUCCUAAAUGAAAAACCCAAGUCAAAAGAUUGGAGAAAAUACUUGGUUUUUCGAGAAGAGUGGAAGAAGUACGGGGAUAGAUUUUACAGUAGGUGUCGAACUCGAGCUGACACAGAAGAUGAUUCUCAAAUGAAGGAAAAGUUAAUUAGCUUGGCUAGAAAAGUUAGGAAGAUUGAUGAUGAAAUGGAAAGGCAUACUGAACUUCUCAAAGAGAUACAAGAUAACCCCAGGGAUUUGAAUGCAAUUGUUACAAAGAGGCGCAAGGAUUUCAAUGGUGAAUUCUUUCGGCAUCUGUCUUUGCUUUCAGAAACUUAUAACAGCUUGGAGGACCGAGAUGCAUUUGCCAGACUUGGGACUAGAUGCUUGUCUGCAGUCAGUGCUUAUGACAACACACUGGAGAUUGUGGGAACAUUAGAUACUGCCCAGGCCAAAUUCGAUGACAUCUUGAACUCUACGUCAGUGGAUGCAGCAUGUGACAAGAUUAAAAGCCUUGCCAAGAGUAAAGAACUUGACUCUUCUUUGGUGCUGCUGAUAAAUGGUGCUUGGGCUUCAGCAAAAGAAUCCUCUACAAUGAGAAAUGAGGUAAAGGAGAUAAUGCAUCGUCUAUACAAAGCUACACAGAGUAGUCUAAGGAGCAUGGCACCAAAAGAAAUAAAGUUGCUCAAGUACCUGCUGAACAUCACAGAUCCUGAAGAGCGAUUCUCAGCAUUGGCAACAGCUUUCAGCCCUGGUCAUGAACAUGAUGCCAAGGAUCCUAAUGCUAUAUACACAAGUCCAAAAGAGUUGCACAAGUGGAUCAAAAUCAUGCUUGAUGCAUACAACAUGAAUAAAGAAGAGACUGAAAUUAGAGAAGCCAAGCAGUUGGAUCAACCUAUGGUCAUUCAGAGACUUUCCAUUCUGAAGGAGACAGUUGAAGCAGAAUAUUUGGAAAAAGAAGCUAAUACAGAAAAAGAUUCACAACCAGAAGAAACUGUGAUAUGACAACCCAGUCCACCGGCGUAUCUGUUGUUCUUGCUCACUGUCUGUUCUCUUCUCAAAAUUAGCUUUCUUUGAUGAUUUGUGUAUCUCUCAGCAUGCAGUAGGAUGGAUGGCUGGUUGCAAUAGUAAAGCAAUUAUGUAUAGUUGGUUUUUGUAGAAAUAGCAAAGAGGCGUUUUCCCUUUUAUGUAUGUGAUCAGAACACUCG
rnacentral:misc_RNA from 1 species